UACGAAGGGGGGCUAGCGUUGCUCGGAAUCACUGGGCGUAAAGGGUGCGUAGGCGGGUCUUUUAAGUCAGGGGUGAAAUCCUGGAGCUCAACUCCAGAACUGCCUUUGAUACUGAAGAUCUUGAGUUCGGGAGAGGUGAGUGGAACUGCGAGUGUAGAGGUGAAAUUCGUAGAUAUUCGCAAGAACACCGGUGGCGAAGGCGGCAUCCUGGACCGGUAUUGACGCUGA
rnacentral:rRNA from 1 species